UACGAAGGGGGCUAGCGUUGCUCGGAAUCACUGGGCGUAAAGCGCACGUAGGCGGAUCGUUAAGUCGGGGGUGAAAUCCUGGAGCUCAACUCCAGAACUGCCUCCGAUACUGGCGAUCUUGGAGUCCGGGAGAGGUGAGUGGAACUCCGAGUGUAGAGGUGAAAUUCGUAGAUAUUCGGAAGAACACCAGUGGCGAAGGCGGCUCACUGGCCCGGUACUGACGCUGAGGUGCGAAAGCGUGGGGAGCAACAGGGAUUAAGA
rnacentral:rRNA from 1 species